AUGACGGCGAUCACGUCCGGCACCACCACCACCACCACCGCGCCCGCGCCCAUCACCCCCACGGCGGAUCCGCCCCCACUAUUCUCGCCCGAGGAGAUGUCGACCACUCUGCGGGAGCUUGUCCAGGCGGUCAGGGGCAUUACCCUCUACCUCGCCGGGAACCAGCCCCCGCCACCAAGCGCCGUCUACGGGCCGCCGCCGCUGCCAUGGGCCGCACCGGCCUUCCAGGCGCCCUACGGAGGGGCGCCCCAGCCGCCGCUGCUGCUACCGCAUUACUCGGCCACGGGACAGCCUUGGCCAGCGUGGCCCGCCUCCACCGCGCCGCUGGGGGGCCCGACCCAGCAGUUUCUUCCAGCGCCACCGCCGGCCCCCACGACACAGACGCCGGUGCAGCAGCUCCCCCAGGCGCCGCCACCAUCGACAGCCCCACCACCCGCGUCUAGGGCCACGGGUCGGCCCCUGCACCAGGUGCAGUUUCCACCGUCACCAUCGCCGAUCCUCGCGUGGGCGACCGGUUCGUCUCCGGGCCCGGUAUACUCCAUGGCGCCGGACCACCCAACGCCCUCCCUGCGGUUUGAUCACCCCUCCAGCUCGGCGACCUACGCCCCGGCGUACGCGCUGCCGGCGACUGCGGCCGCCCCCGGCCACGGCGGGCCAACACCCCCUCGCUUCGCCAAACUGGACUUUGCCACCUACGAGGGCACGGAGGACCCCCUCAACUGGCUCAACCAGUGCGAGCAGUUCUUUCGAGGGCAGCGGACGCUCGCAUCGGAUCGUACCUGGCUCGCGUCCUAUCAUCUCCGAGGCGCAGCGCAGACCUGGUACUACGCCCUUGAGCAGGACGAGGGCGGCAUGCCACCAUGGGAGCGCUUCCGGGAGCUCUGUCUCCUCCGCUUCGGGCCUCCGAUCCGCGGGAGCCGCCUGGCGGCCCUCGGCCGUUUACCCUUCACAUCCACGGUGCAGGACUACGCCGACCGCUUUCAGGCCCUGGCGUGCCACGCGCCGGGCGUCUCCGCGACUCAACGCGCCGAGCUAUUUGUGGGCGGUCUACCGGACCAUAUUCGCGUGGACGUCGAGCUACGGGACCCCCCCGAUCUCCAGACGGCCAUGUACUAUGCCCGCGCAUUCGAGCGCCGCGCGGUGGCCAUUCAGCCGGACUCACCGUUUCGGGCCGCUGGCUCACUACCUUCGCUGGAUUCUGCACCAGGACGGCCUGUGCAGGCUUCCGCGGCACCCCUUGCCGCGACCGCGGCACCUCCCGCCGCAACCGCGGCGCGUCCGUUCCGCCGGCUCACCCCAGCCGAGAUACUCAAGCGUCGCCGCCAAGGGUUGUGCUUCAACAGCGACGAACCCUACAAGCCCGGCCACGCCUGCCCGCGACUCUUCUACCUGGAGGUAGCAGACUACAUUCCGGAGGACGCCGUCGCCGCCGACCUGGCCGCCCCAGAUGUCGAGAAGGGGUUUGAUGCUGGUUGA
rnacentral:rRNA from 1 species